UACAGAGGGGGCAAGCGUUGUUCGGAAUUACCGGGCGUAAAGGGCGCGUAGGCGGCCUUCUAAGUCGAACGUGAAAUCCCCGGGCUCAACCCGGGAACUGCGUCCGAUACUGGAGGGCUUGAAUCCGGGAGAGGGAUGUGGAAUUCCAGGUGUAGCGGUGAAAUGCGUAGAUAUCUGGAGGAACACCGGUGGCGAAGGCGACAUCCUGGACCGGUAUUGACGCUGAGGCGCGAAAGCCAGGGGAGCAAACGGG
rnacentral:rRNA from 1 species